AGAUUAAGUUAUUAAGGGCGCACGGUGGAUGCCUUGGCACUAGAAGCCGAUGAAGGACGUUACUAACGACGAUAUGCUUUGGGUAGCUGUAAGUAAGCAUUGAUCCAGAGAUUUCCGAAUGGGGAAACCCAGCACAAGUUAUGUUGUGUUAUCGACAUGUGAAUACAUAGCAUGUUAGAAGGCAGACCCGGAGAACUGAAACAUCUUAGUACCCGGAGGAAGAGAAAGAAAAAUCGAUUCCCUGAGUAGCGGCGAGCGAAACGGGAAGAGCCCAAACCAAUAAGCUUGCUUAUUGGGGUUGUAGGACACUCUAUACGGAGUUACAAAGGAAUAUAUUAGACGAAUCAUCUGGAAAGAUGAAUCAAAGAAGGUAAUAAUCCUGUAGUUGAAAAUAUGUUCUCUCUUGAGUGGAUCCUGAGUACGACGGAGCACGUGAAAUUCCGUCGGAAUCUGGGAGGACCAUCUCCUAAGGCUAAAUACUCUCUAGUGACCGAUAGUGAACCAGUACCGUGAGGGAAAGGUGAAAAGUACCCCGGAAGGGGAGUGAAAGAGAACUUGAAACCGUGUGCUUACAAGUAGUCAGAGCCCGUUAAUGGGUGAUGGCGUGCCUUUUGUAGAAUGAACCGGCGAGUUACGAUUUGAUGCAAGGUUAAGCAGGAAAUGUGGAGCCGUAGCGAAAGCGAGUCUGAAUAGGGCGUUGAGUAUUUGGUCGUAGACCCGAAACCAGGUGAUCUACCCUUGGUCAGGUUGAAGUUCAGGUAACACUGAAUGGAGGACCGAACCGACUUACGUUGAAAAGUGAGCGGAUGAACUGAGGGUAGCGGAGAAAUUCCAAUCGAACUUGGAGAUAGCUGGUUCUCUCCGAAAU
rnacentral:rRNA from 1 species